rnacentral:rRNA from 1 species
ACCCGGUCCCAUCCCGAACCCGGCAGUUAAGCUCGCCAGCGCCGAUGGUACUGCCCUGGUAGCGGGGUGGGAGAGUAGGUCAUUGCCAAGG